AGUAUGGAUUCAUUUGAUUCGAUGGUAUCGAUCAUUCCAAUUGGCAACCAUUAGAUUCAAAUUGUUAAUUAGAAAUUAGCAAUUUGUAAUUAAGUAAAUUGUUCAAGAUUACUGAUGGAGCUAAUUGCUAUUCAAUUAAUCAGGAGAAUUUUUUUCAAUGGCAAUCGGUUGGAAGACUUGAUUAAGAAUCUAGAAGUUUGGAUGGUUACAAAAUACUGAUUAGAAUGGAAUAAAGAUCAGCUUUGUGAAUGAUGGCAAUUUCUUACCAGUUGUACUAUAAAAGGAUCACCUCAAUUUAGUAACUUAUAGUAAGCGUCGUAAUUAUGAUUAGAAUCUAAUCAUUAGAUUAAUUUCUAGAUGAGAGGCCGGAGAUAAGCUGUUGUCACCUUAAUUGUGGUAAACAUAAAUAAACUCAUUGAUUCGUUCAUUGGUUGUACAACAUAAACUCAAGACCUUAUUAUUUUGGCCCAUCAACAAUCAACAGCAGUUAACAAAAAAAAAGAGUCAAUUGUUAUUAGUGUGUUUAAAAAAUGAUACUAAUUUCAAUUGUUAACAUGAUGAAGUGAAUUAAUUUUCUAUAUGAAAAAAAGCGUUUCCAAUGUUUCUCUUGGCUGUUGAUUCAAAUUUUCAUUGAAAUUGUCACAAGAGGGAAAAGAAAGAAAUGUUUUGAUGAUGAUCAUCAUCAUUGUGUCCAACUAACAGUUUUCUUUUUUAUCAUCAUCAUCCUUUUCACGGUAAACCAUUUAAAUUAAAUGAUACUUAUCGUUAUUAGUUACACGCUGAUUUCCAUAGACAACAACAACAACAACAAGAUAACAAACUACAUCAACAAUUACAAUGAGAGGACAGUAACAUGAUUCACGGGAUGAGGAUGAUGAUCAACCAGAGAGACGCAUCAUCAGAAUGGGAUGGAUACAAGGAGUCACAGUGAGUCUUUUGUUAACAGGGACUAAUAACAAGAGAUACAGAGACGGAGAAAGAAGGAGAAGAAGAUUAAGAAGACAGAGAAAACGAUAAUAAUGAUGACGAUGAAAGAGACAACAUUUAACUAGCAAAAUUAACGUCAACAAGGUUGGGUGAAGAGAGAGAGAGAGAGCAAGAGAGCAAGAGAAAGAGAUGAGGAUGACAAAAAUGAUUGAAAAAAGAUACAUUGGAAACCAUUACAAUUUAAACUCUUCCUUUUCCUCAUCUCUAUCAAUUGGUUCCACUCAGUUUACCUUUUUUUUGCAGAUCAAUGAAAAGCUCAGGACAAUAGGUGAUUAACUUGAUUGGAUGAUAUUUAUAACAAUGUGUAAAUAUACAGAGUGUUUGUGUAUAUGCAGAUUCACCUUUGAAAGAUAAAGAAAGAGAAAAAAGAAAGUUACCACCAGUCUUUGUAUCAUCAUCGACAUCAUAAUGAUCAUGGUCAUUUUUAUCAUCAUUUGCAUCCUCAUCUUCAUCAUCUUCACAUUAUAAUAGAUUAACAUUAUAAAUGCUUGUAAAAAAAGCCCAUCCAAACACCCAUACAACUACAAUAAUAAGAUAAUAAUAUAAUGAUGAUGAGGAUGGAUAACAAUGGAUUGUGAUUAUGACUCUUUGAGUAACUUGAUAUUGGUCAAUUCAAGGUAACAAUACAAUCAACGACAAUAAGUGAGAGAGAGGAAGAUGAAAAAGAGAUCUCUCUUUUUUCAUUGGCACUUCGAGGGUAAUCGGCCAUUCGACUUAUCAUCAUAUUGUACUCGAAGAGAAAAAAAGAAAGAGGAGAAAAUUUUCUCUUCAUCAUCUACAUCAUCUUCUUCCUCAUCACAUUAUCAUCUUCCUAUGUGUUUACCAUAACUAACUAGUUUAAAGUGAGUUUAUUGUUAUUAUUAUGAUAAAUCAUUGGCACUUAAUGAUAAUUCAAUGGAUACACACUAAGGUGCUAAGGAACCCGAAAUUAUCAUCAUUAUUAAUCAAUAUUAUUACGUUAACUAUUUAUUGUUAUUGUCAUUGAAUUGAUCAUUAAAUGAUCAAGUAUCUACUUUACCUCAA